GCCAGUGUGGCGUAGUGGUUUGAAUACUGGAUUACAACUUUGGAGACCAGAGUUCAAUUCCCGGCUCAGCCA